rnacentral:rRNA from 1 species
GAUGAACGCUGGCGGCGUGCCUAAUACAUGCAAGUCGAGCGAACAGACGAGGAGCUUGCUCCUCUGAUGUUAGCGGCGGACGGGUGAGUAACACGUGGAUAACCUACCUAUAAGACUGGGAUAACUUCGGGAAACCGGAGCUAAUACCGGAUAACAUGUUGAACCGCAUGGUUCAACAGUGAAAGACGGUCUUGCUGUCACUUAUAGAUGGAUCCGCGCCGCAUUAGCUAGUUGGUAAGGUAACGGCUUACCAAGGCAACGAUGCGUAGCCGACCUGAGAGGGUGAUCGGCCACACUAGAACUGAGACACGGUCCAGACUCCUACGGGAGGCAGCAGUAGGGAAUCUUCCGCAAUGGGCGAAAGCCUGACGGAGCAACGCCGCGUGAGUGAAGAAGGUCUUCGGAUCGUAAAACUCUGUUAUUAGGGAAGAACAAAUGUGUAAGUAACUAUGCACGUCUUGACGGUACCUAAUCAGAAAGCCACGGCUAACUACGUG